rnacentral:rRNA from 1 species
UACGGAGAGUGCAAACGUUGUUCGGAUUCACUGGGCGUAAAGGGCACAUAGGCAGCUCGGCAAAUCGGUCGUGGAAUCCCGACGCUUACCGUCGGAACGGCGGCCGAAAAUACCGGGCUCGAGGGCGUGAGGGGUCACUGGAACUCCUGGUGAAGCGGUGAAAUGCGUAGAUAUCAGGAGGAACGCCGGAGGCGAAAGCGAGUGACUGGCGCGUUCCUGACGCUGAGGUGCGAAAGCUAGGGGAGCAAACAGG